UAGCCCCUUUUUCUUCAUAAACCCUCUCUCUCUCUUUCUAACCUUAUUCUCCUCACAUAAAGGUGACAUAGUUUCUAAUUUGGUAAGUUUUUGAGAGUACAAUUUUGCUACAUGCAACCCAUUGCUUUGAAAGUAACAUUUUUCUAAGUUCUACUAGUUGUAAUCUGUUGCUUUGAGAAUUAUAGAGAUUAAUUUCACCGACUGAGUUGUUAAAAGAGGUUAACUAAGAGAGGAUUAAUCCUGCCCCUGGGGCAGUUAGAAAAGGUAAACACUACUUGUACCCACCUGGUGAGACAGGCCAGUUGCAAACCUCCCUGGGAAGGGCAGGUCUGAGAGGAGGAUUGGAUCCAGCCACACCUAGGCUCCUCUCUGACAAAGAGUUUAGAAAGCAAGGGGGUCCGGUCUGAAUCUCCCUGGGCUUCCCAGCUCAUGGGACAUGACAGAAAGUGAAAAUGUUCAGAUUUACUGUAGAAGAGAUAGAACUCAUUUGGAGUGAAACGUAUGACUAUCUCUGCAUACAAAUCAAAAUGCAGCUCUCAGAGAAGCUCCAUGGCCUCUGGUGUGAAAAGAGUGAGAAAUGUGUCAGCAUGAGUGUGGGCUCAGCUCAGACUCUGCUCAAGGACGUAGGAGGAAACAGAAACUUAACUGACAAUAAGAUUUUCCAAAGGGCUAAUUUUCCGAAAGCAAACCAUUAUGGUCAUAAACAAGUCUCAGCUAGAGAUGAUAUGCUGAGCUGAGACAGUGAAAAAUCUUCAGGGAGAGCUGGAGGCUCAGCUGGGCGAUGGGCACAGCACAGCAAGGAGCUGCACUGCCACCAGUUCAGCAUGGAACUUUCUGGCAAGGGAUUUCAUUGCUACUCAUGUCAAUGUCCUCAUCUAUUUGAUUAGGCUAGUACUCUCCCUUUUUAGUACAGCUGUGAAGAGUAAGUGCUGUUAGGAUAUUCUACAGUUCUCAGAAGAAUGACUAUUGUACUUCCUAAUGUGUUUUUAAAAGGAAACAAUUACUUCCAUAAAGUAGAUGACUGCCCUUAACACUAUUUUUUCUCCAGAUUUAUGACUAGCUUUUCCUUAAAGCACAGUUACAUGCUUCUGUUUCUUUGGCUGGUAGAACAUGAGACAAACUACUCUCUCUCAAUGCAAAGUCUUUUUCUAAUUCCUCUUGAGCAUCCUGUCUUCUGAACUAAAAGGCCAACUUUUUUCUCCCACAAACAGUAGUCAAAACAAUAUACCUACAUCUGCAGGAAGAUUUUGGCUUAUGAUCCUAUGGCACUGUUUUGGAAUUCUACACAUAAGCAAAAGAUCCAUCUUCUUUCCUAACCCUAAUUUACAAUUGAAGAUAGUUCAUUGCUAAGUGCUUUAAAUAGUGCAACAAUAGUCCCUUAAAAAGGUGAAAAGCACUGAUGCUGGGUUUUUGACUUAAGCUCCAUCUGAGGAUCUGUUAGGAUAGUAAUGCUGACUGUUUUCAGUAGUGAAAGAAACACAGAAAUUCUUUUAAUUUUUUUUUCUGUUAUGAAGGAAGAAACACUUGGCCAGAUCCUAGGGGUGAUGGGAGAAAGAACUGAACAGCAUUUCAGAAAGAGACAUUCCAUGGAUACCACUGAAAUGUUUCAAACUGCAAUUAACUAUACCUGCUGUUCCAAAAUACAGGUGCAUGUGCAUUUGGGAAUGACAUGACUAUCAAAUUGCAAAUUGAGUCACUUGACAAGCUUGUUUUACCCUUCCAAUUAUGCAAGCAAGUUUGUGACUCAACACCUACAUGUCUGUUCUCUACUGACAGGACAAAUCAGUUCAGCAGCUGAGUCAGCAAGAACAGCCCUUUUCACAGUGAUAAAUCCAGCAGGCAGCCACACUAUGGAAAAGAUUGUGGAGCUUUUAUUCUGUGUGCCUUUGUAAGAUAGAGUAAAUGUAUUUUUAAAAAGAUCUUCAGCUCAUCUUCACAUAAGAAACUAAUUAAAUGGGGGAGAGAAAAGCUGUCAUGGGAUUACACUGAUCGAUGUUCAUGGUCCUCUAACUAAAAGUGAUUACAUUUUCCUUCCAAUAGUGUUUUUUGUUGCUACUAUUGUUUGUCCAUCCCUAGUUUAUGAAACUCAUCCAGCAACCUGCUGUAAUUGCAAUUGUAAUUGAAAAUUAAUUAUUUAAUUGUAUUUUACUUUUCUUUCAAGGGUUGCAAAUAAUUCCCUACAUUUUAGACUGUGACAAGGGUGGAGGAGCCAUGCCAACUACAGGCAGUCACAAAUUCAUGCACAUAUUGGCAUGGGAAUCUCUGUUCCAGCCUGUUUCUGGAAUGCUGAUUUUUCUUCCUGGCACAUCUGCAACAUACAAUAAUCUUUCCUUACCCUUCAGGCUUGAUCCUUUCGAGAUGCCAAGUAUGAAUUACAGCUGCCAAUGAUUUUAGCACUUGAAAUACCUAAACACCUAAUGACAGAACCUCUAGGCUGCAUUUGGAACUGACAAUGAAGAACCUAGUGGGUAGGUUGAACUUCCCUCCCUGCCUGUAAGAAAGCUGUACCAUUAGUUCUAUUCAAAACUAGAUUAUCUUCACCCCCAUGCCCAGAGGUGAAUCUCACCAACAGCCUUUUUAGUUGGUGAUCAUCUCACUAGGAGGCCAUGGAUAAAGCAGCACUGGGUGAACUUCAGCACAAACACUGUAGGAGAACAUGUUAGCCAAGAGAAUCACGUUGUUAAGUUACACGAGGCUGAAAAAGAUUGGGGAAAAGGAACAGAAGGUUAUGGUUUGCAAAUGUUUUAAUUUCAUACUGGAGGCUUUUCCAAAACAUCGACAUUGGGUUUCAACACACAGAUGUAUGUGAAUACCGAAUUGUCUGUCCUUCACAACAGCUAUUCUGAGAAGCAUCAGCUGUCUCCUACAUGAUCGAUGCACAUCCUGUUGGGGCUUCAGAUCACAACCCCAGCACUGACAGUUUUCACAAUGACUGAUGCUUUCCUUAAAGCCUCUGUCCCUGCAACCAUCUGAGCAUGUGAACAUUUUAGCUUUAAUUUUCUAAAACAAAGUACCUUCAAACAUCAUACAAAGAAAUACUUUCUUUUAUAGAGAAAAGCAAAUACAAACAAAGUUAAAUACAGAAUCUCAACAUGCAAAAAUAAAUUAAAAAAAAAAUUAAAAAAGAAAGCAAACAAAGUAUGUUACUUAGAAACAACUGCAAAACCAAUCACAAUUUUAAAUGCCUACUUAAAAAUUUCCAGGUUCAGGUGAUUUAUGAGUGCCUGGGUUUGACAACACUUUGUCCAGUUUAGGGUUUCUCAGUCUGCAUGGUGCUGAGGUGGUGGGAAGAAAUGCUACAUUCCAAACUAGAUAACAUAUUUCUGCUGUACUCCCUGCAUAUGGUUGCUUUCCAAAAUCAACAAUUCUCUUUCAAGCUAUCAAAUCACAUGCCAAAAUGCAUACAUGGGGUGGCUAUCACCAUACAUUACUAACAUUGGCCAAUCUUGACUAUAAAUACCUUGCUUCCAGUGGCUUAUUCUGUGCCAAGUCUCAACACUCUGGAUUUAUUUUUUUAUUUUAAGGAUCUGGUGAAUUAAACGAUUUUCAGCUUGUGAAAAACAAGACACUUCCAAGAAUGAAAAAAGAGCAAAUAAGAAGAUAUUUAUCUUGACUUAUCAAGAGCUGUGCUUUGAACAUAUAAAUUUUUCCAUGGUGCUUGGUGUUGAGAAAAACUGUGUUCUGUCUGCCAUACAGGAUGAUUCAACAAUACCCUCUUUCUCUUCAUUUUGGAGGAGCAACCAACUCCCGUUUCCUGGAAGAAGAGUUUAUGCAAGUCCAAACCUGACAUCCAGUGGCCACUGAGACUCACGGCACUCUCUUGGCAUCUCGACCGUUUGAAGCUUGAAGUGCAAUGGCUUUACCCUUCAAAUAAAUUAUUUCAGCGCUUGAAUCAA